GUAUUAUUUCUGUAUAUGAAAAAAAAAAAAAAAAAAAAGUCUACUAAUUUUGUUUGGUGCUAAGAGUAAAACCAUUUUUUACAAAAACAUUUCUCCAAGGCCAGGUUUAUCAAAAUUGUUUAAAGGUGCCUCACUCUGCUGAUAGCAUCUAUGUGGAAGCCUCACUAGUAUUGCAAGUCAGUACGAGUAAGGCUUCUAGCAAUUAGACUCUUUUGAAGGUUCUUAACAGGUACCUAUCUAAAUAUUUUUAUCUUGGCAGAGUGUGAAAACUUCCAUCAUGCAGUCUUUGAUCUGGAGUUCUAGAAAUUAAAUUACAGGCUGCCUAGAGGGAUUUUGAAGUGCUAAGCACUCUUCUUUCAGACCAAAUAAAAAGCACAAUUACAGCUCUUACAGUAGUUGUAUAUCUGAUAUUAACAUGGAUUCAUGAAGUAGCUUGGCUAGGUUUGGUCAGAAGCUAUCUCAUAUGAACUGAACAGUUAAUGAAUGGAAAAUGCCAAGACAAAGGCCAGAAGACAGGGAAUAAAACUAAUGGACAAAAGCUGCCCUAAACGGGAGCAGAAAAACAUUUCCAGGUGAAGAGCAGGAAGAGUAAAAUAGGUUAGUAAAUGUGAGAAAAUAAACUGUACUUAACGCUACUAUAUUUUUAUUAUUUUCACAGAAAAAGAAACACAUAUAAUCUUAGAGGAAAACAGAGUUGUACCACAGGAUAUAUCAGUGUCAUAACCUAAAGAAAAUGGUCACAAAACUUCCCAGAAAGAAUGUAUCUUUUGAAAGAAUAAUCAAAGCAAAGCAAGAUUCUGGGGAACAUCUACUUACUAGAAGACUAAAUCAAAAAGUAGUAAAGCUGGAAUUAUCAGACCUAAGCAUCUCAGCCCCACAUCACUACGGGAGACAUCCUGCAUAUUAAUGGGAGCAUGUGAAUGUUAGUGGCACGAUUGUUGAAUUUUAUGCAUUUAAAUUGCAAUUAAUUCUGUAUCAUCCAUCUCUACUCAAAAAUGC
rnacentral:lncRNA from 1 species